rnacentral:rRNA from 1 species
GAUGAACGCUGGCGGCAUGCCUAAUACAUGCAAGUCGAACGGACCAUUUCGGUGGUAAGUGGCGAACGGGUGGGUAACACGUAGGUAACAUAUCCAUACGACGAGGAUAACGGCUGGAAACGGCUGCUAAGACUGGAUAGGAAUAUAGGAGGCAUCUUUAAUAUUUUAAAGGACCUUAGGGUACGCGUAUGGAGUGGCCUGCGGCGCAUUAGCUAGUUGGAGUAGUAAAGGCACCCCAAGGCAAUGAUGCGUAGCCGGACUGAGAGGUUGACCGGCCACAUUGGGACUGAGACACGGCCCAGACUCCUACGGGAGGCAGCAGUAGGGAAUUUUCGGCAAUGGAGGGAACUCUGACCGAGCAAUGCCGCGUGAAUGAAGAAGUACUUCGGUAUGUAAAGUUCUUUUAUUGGGGAAGAACGGCUAGUGGAAAAGCUAGAGUGACGGUACCCAUUGAAUAAGCCCCGGCUAACUAUGUGCCAGCAGCCGCGGUAAUACAUAGGGGGCAAGCGUUAUCCGGAAUUAUUGGGCAUAAAGGGUGCGUAGGCGGCAAGUUAAGUUUAAGGUAUAAGCUCAUGGCUCAACCAUGGGAGGCUUUAGAAACUGGCUAGCUAGAGUGCAGUAGAGGCAAGUGGAAUUCCAUGUGUAGCGGUAAAAUGCGUAAAUAUAUGGAGGAACACCAGUAGCGAAGGCGGCUUGCUGGGCUGUAACUGACGCUAAGGCACGAAAGCGUGGGGAGCAAACAGG